rnacentral:rRNA from 1 species
AAGUCGAACGAUGAACCACUUCGGUGGGGAUUAGUGGCGAACGGGUGAGUAACACGUGGGCAAUCUGCCCUGCACUCUGGGACAAGCCCUGGAAACGGGGUCUAAUACCGGAUACUGACCCUCGCAGGCAUCUGCGAGGUUCGAAAGCUCCGGCGGUGCAGGAUGAGCCCGCGGCCUAUCAGCUUGUUGGUGAGGUAAUGGCUCACCAAGGCGACGACGGGUAGCCGGCCUGAGAGGGCGACCGGCCACACUGGGACUGAGACACGGCCCAGACUCCUACGGGAGGCAGCAGUGGGGAAUAUUGCACAAUGGGCGAAAGCCUGAUGCAGCGACGCCGCGUGAGGGAUGACGGCCUUCGGGUUGUAAACCUCUUUCAGCAGGGAAGAAGCGAAAGUGACGGUACCUGCAGAAGAAGCGCCGGCUAACUACGUGCCAGCAGCCGCGGUAAUACGUAGGGCGCAAGCGUUGUCCGGAAUUAUUGGGCGUAAAGAGCUCGUAGGCGGCUUGUCGCGUCGGUUGUGAAAGCCCGGGGCUUAACCCCGGGUCUGCAGUCGAUACGGGCAGGCUAGAGUUCGGUAGGGGAGAUCGGAAUUCCUGGUGUAGCGGUGAAAUGCGCAGAUAUCAGGAGGAACACCGGUGGCGAAGGCGGAUCUCUGGGCCGA